rnacentral:rRNA from 1 species
UACGUAGGGUGCAAGCGUUGUCCGGAAUUAUUGGGCGUAAAGAGCUCGUAGGCGGUCUGUCGCGUCUGCUGUGAAACUCAGGGCUUAACCCUGAGCUUGCAGUGGGUACGGGCAGACUAGAGUGCGGUAGGGGAGACUGGAAUUCCUGGUGUAGCGGUGAAAUGCGUAGAUAUCGGGAGGAACACCUGAGAUGUAGAUGGCUUACUGGACCGUAACUGACGCUGAGGCACGAAAGCGUGGGUAGCAAACAGG